GAUGAACGCUGGCGGCGUGCCUAAUACAUGCAAGUCGAGCGAACGGACGAGAAGCUUGCUUCUCUGAUGUUAGCGGCGGACGGGUGAGUAACACGUGGAUAACCUACCUAUAAGACUGGGAUAACUUCGGGAAACCGGAGCUAAUACCGGAUAAUAUUUUGAACCGCAUGGUUCAAUAGUGAAAGACGGUCUUGCUGUCACUUAUAGAUGGAUCCGCGCUGCAUUAGCUAGUUGGUAAGGUAACGGCUUACCAAGGCAACGAUGCAUAGCCGACCUGAGAGGGGGAUCGGCCACACUGGAACUGAGACACGGUCCAGACUCCUACGGGAGGCAGCAGUAGGGAAUCUUCCGCAAUGGGCGAAAGCCUGACGAAGCAACGCCGCGUGAGUGAUGAAGGUCUUCGGAUCGUAAACUCUGUUAUUAGGGAAGAACAUAUGUGUAAGUAACUGUGCACAUCUUGACGGUACCUAAUCAGAAAGCCACGGCUAACUACGUG
rnacentral:rRNA from 1 species